AUCUACGGCCAUACCACCCUGAACACACCCGAUCUCGUCUGAUCUUGGAAGCUAAGCAGGGUCGGGCCUGGUUAGUACUUGGAUGGGAGAAAUCAACAGGGUAGGGGGAGAUA
ensembl:rRNA 5S_rRNA 5S ribosomal RNA